UACGAAGGGGGCUAGCGUUGCUCGGAAUCACUGGGCGUAAAGGGUGCGUAGGCGGGUCUUUAAGUCAGGGGUGAAAUCCUGGAGCUCAACUCCAGAACUGCCUUUGAUACUGAGGAUCUUGAGUCCGGGAGAGGUGAGUGGAACUGCGAGUGUAGAGGUGAAAUUCGUAGAUAUUCGCAAGAACACCAGUGGCGAAGGCGGCUUACUGGUCCGGUACUGACGCUGAGGCGCGAAAGCGUGGGGAGCAAACAGG
rnacentral:rRNA from 1 species